AGGCUUUUUAAAACCAUUUAACAAAAAAACAAACAAACAAACAAAAAAACCAAACCAAACCAAACCUUCUCCUCUUGCAGCAUAGGACCUGAGAUUUGUCUCCCCACCUGAAGAACCAAAGGAGGAGAGCGAUUUCCUGGGACUUCAGCUGGUGCCCUGCAACCUGCCAACCCUGCCUUGGAAGAGAAGGAAGGAUGAUGUUUAGUUUAACCCUACCUGAUGCACCCCAGCUGUCUGGAACUGCCAUCAUCCUCAGUUAUAUGAAUCUCUCAUGGCCCAGCUGAUGGGGAAGACUGGAUUUGUACCCUAAUAAGUCUUUCCUCUUCAUGGAGAAACAGGACCUUAAUAAACCACGGUAAAGUAAGUAUUGCA
rnacentral:lncRNA from 1 species